AUUGAACGCUAGCGGCAUGCCUAACACAUGCAAGUCGAACGAGUGGCGGACGGGUGAGUAAUGUCUCGGAACCUGCCCAAUAGAGGGGGAUAACUACUGGAAACGGUGGCUAAUACCGCAUACCAUCAGAUGUGCCCAUAUGGGAUUAGCUAGUUGGUGGGGUAAAGGCUCACCAAGGCGACGAUCCCUAGCUGGUCUGAGAGGAUGACCAGCCACACUGGAACUGAGACACGGUCCAGACUCCUACGGGAGGCAACAGUGGGGAAUAUUGGACAAUGGGGGCAAGCCUGAUGCAGCCAUGCCGCGUGUAUGAAGAAGGCCUUCGGGUUGUAAAGUACUUUCAGCAGGGAGGCGGUACCCGCAGAAGAAGCACCGGCUAACUACGUGCCAGCAGCCGCGGUAAUAC
rnacentral:rRNA from 1 species